GCCAUCGAUGACGACGAGCUGGUCUCGUACGUUCUUGCUGGCCUCGAUUUCGACUACAAUCCCAUCGUCUCAGCCCUAGUUGCCAGGACUGAGUCGAUC
rnacentral:snoRNA from 1 species